rnacentral:rRNA from 1 species
AUACGGAGGGUGCAAGCGUUAAUCGGAAUUACUGGGCGUAAAGCGCGCGUAGGCGGUUUGGUCAGUCAGAUGUGAAAGCCCUGGGCUCAACCUGGGAACUGCAUUUGAUACUGCCAAACUAGAGUGUGGGAGAGGUAAGUGGAAUUCCGGGUGUAGCGGUGAAAUGCGUAGAUAUCCGGAGGAACAUCAGUGGCGAAGGCGGCUUACUGGACCAACACUGACGCUGAGGUGCGAAAGCGUGGGUAGCAAACAGGAUUAGAUACCCGGGUAGUCC